UCCAUACUGACAGUUUCCCAGGAGAGUCACUCUUCUCCCCCGUAGCCACAGGCACCAAAGUCCUUCUCUGACUUUCAUGCUUAGAGUGAAAAUGGAGGCUUGCAACCCAGCACUUCUCUUCAGACCUUAAAUCCAUUGGUGAAAACCCAUGCCCAUCAAUGCCAGCUUUAUUUCAUUGCCAAAUGCUAAGUCACAAUGAGCAACUUACCUCCUUUCAUACAUAGUGUAUAACAGAACCAUUGGACAGAAUGUUUGGAAGCAAGUUGUUAACCAACAUUCUAUAGAACAGAGUGUAUUCAGUGAUGACUCACAGAUAAAUUACUUCACCCUCACGGACCUCAAACUGGGUGUGCCAUUUGCUGUAGAUUGACUCAACGCUUAACCCUUCCAGUCAGACACCAGGCACCAAGUUAAUCGAUUUCAUUGCCAGACUGAGAAUUCUCCAAGCCUUCUGAAUUUAAUUUAAACUGAUUGCAUACUGAAUGAGUUUGAAGGACUGUAAAGCAAAAGUGCAUCUGCUCCAGAACUGAUCUACCAAAUGUUCAUUGGGUUGUGCUGGUGCGAAGAGCAUUCUGCGUCUGGCGGCCCAGCCCCGGAGGACAUGGUGAUCUACUGUGCGCACACGGGUAUAAACGAGAGUCACCGUGCAGCAACGUAAGUGCUACCCAAGGAGGGUUCAAGAUGCUAUCAACCUCUCACAGCAAAUGGAAAAUCAGGGUCGAGCAGAUAUCUGAAUAGCUGAAGUCCAUCUCUGUCUCCCAAGAGUUAAAUCGACAAACAAAAAAUGGAAUUGAGUCCCACUGAAAGAAUUGAAGAUCUCUGCUGAAACCAGUCACUGUGGACAGGGGGAUUCCACCUCCUCACUGGCCAUUCUGAGACACGUGUCCAAACUCAGAGCUAGGGUUCAAGGCAGCUCAGCAAACCACAUGGGCCAAUGAUGGAACAAGGCAAGCGCUGGUUCUGUUACUGGAAGAACGGGAAAAGGAUGCUGGGGAACUGAAAUCAAGAAAUGUCCAUGAUCGCAUAUAGGAACUCUACUCUUUUACAUCCUCUCCAACACCAAUUUCGUUACUGAUGCCACAAAUAACAUCUUUUUAUAUUUUGUAUCCAUUAACAUGGGGGUAUAGUUUGUAUCUUGGGCUUUUAUCCUUUGAAUCCUACACCAAAAUUAAAAGUGAUUUAUACACCUCCAUUCCAAUAUUACAGGAUUAUGUAUUUGUCUAUGUAUUUACCUUUAUCAGAGAACUUUAUAUUUUCAUGUGCUUUGUGUUGCCAUACAAGUCAUUUUCUUAAGAGGAAAGUGUGUAUACACAUACACACACACACACACACACACACACAAAUAUAUUUCUCAUUUUGGCAAAGUCCUUGUCCUUCAGUUACCUCGGGGUUUAUUAUUGUUCUGUCUUAUGGAUUUUUUAAAAAUAAUUUAUGAUCUUUUCCUUUAAGCUUGAAUAAUUUUCAAGGUGCUUUCAGUCUCUUGUUGCUUUUCCAGAACCUUAGGUCACCCAAACCUAGUCUCUGAACUUAGCAGAGGUAAAUAAUCUCCUUGCCUUAGAAAAACUUAACCGCAAAGAGUCUCAAAUAAAUUGUUUUCUCCUCA